AACAACCGCGGCUCGCUGGUGGCGCCGGCGAUGGAAGCGCCGCUGGUUGCGAUUGACGGCGCGGGUGGUUUUGGUGGGGAUUGGAGGCGGAGGGUGGGGACGGAGGCGGAGGCGAUUGGCGAGAAGAGCAACGCCAACGCACCAAAUCCGAUUGCGCUAUUAUUGGGCGGAGCGGAGCGCAGGCUUUGCAGUUGCUCACGCCUUGGCACGGCGGCAGCUUCGCUUUCGCUGUCGCUCGCAUCGCAAGCGUGCAGGGCGCGGGCGGAGGAGGAAACCACUCGAUUUGCCUCGCCAAGAAUGGUGCGGCUGCGAAAAAGGUAAUGGAGGAAGGUAUAUGCAACAGGACUACAGGAGACAAAACAAAAACGUAAUCUGGCGGCCGAUUUCAUUAAUUUAAUCUUUUUUUUUUUGCGAUGGAUUUCAUUAAUUCAAUCGUGCUGGUGAUCUGGCGAGGUUCCAGUUGGAUUUGCGCUUGCGGUGUCUAAUACGCGGACGACGCGACACGUUCCUAGUUGUGAUCGACGUGACAUUGGAACGUGAGGUCUGGCAGGCUUCGCUGUAGUGUUUUUUUAAAUGACUGCCAAGUGUAGUGUAGUGUCUGCUCUUGGUUCUCGGGUGUGGAUGGGAUUCACAGCCAACGGUCUAAAAGUUAAAGCUUUUUC
rnacentral:lncRNA from 1 species